rnacentral:tRNA from 1 species
GCCGCAGUGGCGGAAUGGCAGACGCGUACGCUUCAGGAGCGUAUGGGGCAACCCAUAGAGGUUCAACUCCUCUCUGCGGCA